AGAGUUUGAUCCUGGCUCAGGAUGAACGCUGGCGGCGUGCUUAACACAUGCAAGUCGAGCGAAGCAGUUAAGUUGAUUUCUUCGGAUUGAUUCUUAACUGACUGAGCGGCGGACGGGUGAGUAACGCGUGGGUGACCUGCCCCAUACCGGGGGAUAACAGCUGGAAACGGCUGCUAAUACCGCAUAAGCGCACAGAGCUGCAUGGCUCGGUGUGAAAAACUCCGGUGGUAUGGGAGGGGCCCGCGUCUGAUUAGGCAGUUGGCGGGGUAACGGCCCACCAAACCGACGACCAGUAGCCGGCCUGAGAGGGCGACCGGCCACAUUGGGACUGAGACACGGCCCAAACUCCUACGGGAGGCAGCAGUGGGGAAUAUUGCACAAUGGGGGAAACCCUGAUGCAGCGACGCCGCGUGAGCGAAGAAGUAUUUCGGUAUGUAAAGCUCUAUCAGCAGGGAAGAUAAUGACGGUACCUGACUAAGAAGCCCCGGCUAACUACGUGCCAGCCGCCGCGGUAAUUC
rnacentral:rRNA from 1 species